UGGAGAUCAGGUGCUGGUACACAGGGAAGCAGGAGGACAAGGGGCUCAGGUCACAGCUGGAUCACUCACUGGGGAAGUUCUGCUAGCAUGCCUCAGGCAUGAACGCAACACAGCAGCCUGCAGCACAAAGAGCUUGGGAAACAAACAUAAUGUAAAGCCGUCCCUGGUUUUACACCUCAGUGCACCUUUUGAGCAAGAAACCUGAAAUACCACCAGACCAUAUGAGGAUCAUACACACUGCUCACUGUUCAAAGAAGAGAAAUGGCUGUUUACGUUGCCGUUCUGCUGCUAGGGAAGUGAAACUGGGAAGGUUGUCACACCAUCCUGAUGAUAAACCCCAAACACUUCCAUUUUCAAAGCCUAUCAGAGUUGGUCUGAUUAUCUUCUCUGAAGAAAGACCCCAGAACUACAUUUAAGCCUCAUCUUUCAGGUACACAAGAGAGGCUGGAUUGCCUUUUAAUACAC